AAGCGAACAUUUUCGUUCCGCCAUUGUUUUUUUAGUGACUCAAAUGAUCGGGCUCCGUUUUUCUUCCUAUAAUUUCGCAACAAAGUUCCAAAGUUUCAUUUUAUACAAUCGUUGUUUGAACGCGGAACCAUCGAGAGAUAUGCGGAGAAUAUCUAUCAUCAACAGCAGCGGAAAAAUGUACCGAAAAGACCACCCGAUAAGAACAAAAAAGAUCCGGAUUUGGAACUCAAGUUUGAAGAGAUAUUCAAAGCGUAAAAGGGAUAUGAAUCAGCUCCACCAAAAAUCGAUUUGAACACAGUGAUGUUAGGUCCACAGAAAAUUGGAAAUCGAUUUUGUGCUUCUUCCGAAACCCAAAAACACUACCGGAAUUGCCCAGUUCUUAUCGGAGGAUCCACUAAAAACAGUACAACUUCCCGAUCGGAUGUUGGUGUACGAAUGUUGGAGAGUCUGAAACACAGCUGGGGCCCAGAAUAACUUUGUUACCCGUUUCGAUAUAAUCCAAGCUAUGGGUAAAAGCAUCAGGUUAUAUUGGGUCUGGAUACUCA